rnacentral:rRNA from 1 species
CCUCGAAUCAGGUGGGACUACCCGCUGAACUUAAGCAUAUCAAUAAGCGGAGGAAGAGAAACUAACAAGGAUUCCCCUAGUAACGGCGAGUGAAGCGGGAUGAGCUCAAAUUUAAAAUCUGAUAGUCUUUGGCUGUCCGAGUUGUAAUCUAGAGAAGUGUUUUCCGCGUUGGACCAUGUACAAGUUUCCUGGAACGGAACGUCAUAGAGGGUGAGAAUCCCGUCCUUGACAUGGACUACCAGUGCUUUGUGAUACACUCUCAACGAGUCGAGUUGUUUGGGAUUGCAGCUCAAAAUGGGAGGUAAAUUCCUUCUAAAGCUAAAUAUUGGCGAGAGACCGAUAGCGAACAAGUACCGUGAGGGAAAGAUGAAAAGCACUUUGGAAAGAGAGUUAAACAGUACGUGAAAUUGUUAAAAGGGAAACGAUUGAAGUCAGUCGCGUUUACUUGGACUCAGCCUUACCUCGGUUUGGUGCAUUUCCUUGUGAACGGGCCAGCGUCAAUGUUGUCCGUUGGAAAAGGGUUGGAGAAAUGUGGCUCUUUCGGGAGUGUUAUAGUCUCUGAUCGUAUACAACGGCUGAUAUUGAGUGGUACAGCAUGCUUCGGCGGUGCUUGUGCUGGCAUAAU